UACGUAGGGCGCAAGCGUUGUCCGGAAUUAUUGGGCGUAAAGAGCUCGUAGGCGGUUGGUCGCGUCUGCCGUGAAAACCCAUGGCUUAACUGUGGGCUUGCGGUGGAUACGGGCCGACUUGAGGUAGGUAGGGGAGAAUGGAAUUCCCGGUGUAGCGGUGAAAUGCGCAGAUAUCGGGAGGAACACCGGUGGCGAAGGCGGGUCUCUGGGCCGAUACUGACGCUGAGGAGCGAAAGCGUGGGGAGCGAACAGG
rnacentral:rRNA from 1 species